rnacentral:lncRNA from 1 species
AGCAAUGGGGAGGUUGAGAAUCACUGCUCCAGAGAUGCUCAAAAGCCAAAGCCGGGGAAGUGGGCGGAAAAAUGGGUGUUGGAAGGGCCAGAGUGAGGAAGAAACCCGGAAGACUGAAGGGUGGUUAGGGUCAUUUUAUUAUUCCCUAGAAGUCGGCCAGUUGGCAACAACGGAGAAAUCAUUUCGAGUUAGCGGAAUGAAGCUUGCUUGCACCCCAACGAGUAUAGCCUCAGUCCAUGCGCCUCUAUCCUCACCCCUCUUCCUGCACCACCAAGGCGAACGGACCUCGGGCUUUAAGCGACAGAAGCCCUUGUAUGCGUUGUUGCUAGGAUCGGAAGAGGCAGCCGAACUCUACGUGUGAUUCCUCCACCACAGUGAACAGGGAUCCCCGAGAACCUCAGACCUACGUCCCAUCUUCUCCUGACUCUCUAUCCUCAACGGUAAAUGGGACACUGGAACGUUUACUGCUGAAUCACGCCGUCCUUGACCCCAAAGAGCGCUCAUUCGGUUUGUGAGACUCUGGUGUGAUAAAAACGAAGUUACAUAAUUAAUCAGCGAAGGUUGAUACUCCACAUGAACAAAGCCUGGGUGCUGCAUUCCUGACUACUCGGUCGAAACUUUUAAAAGUCCAGUCUCCUAAAUAGCUGCUUUUCACUUCGUGAAAUCAAAAUCUAUUAGCUGCAAUCACCCUUUAUCCAUAAGCCAAAGAAAAUAAAUAAAAUCCUAUUUUUAUGU